GUCCACGCCGUAAACGGUGGGCGCUAGUUGUGCGAACCUUCCACGGUUUGUGCGACGCAGCUAACGCAUUAAGCGCCCCGCCUGGGGAGUACGAUCGCAAGAUUAAAACUCAAAGGAAUUGACGGGGCCCCCGCACAAGCAGCGGAGCACGCGGCUUAAUUCGACGCAACGCGAAGAACCUUACCAAGGCUUGACAUAUACAGGAAUACGGCAGAGAUGUCGUAGCCGCAAGGUCUGUAUACAGGUGGUGCAUGGUUGUCGU
rnacentral:rRNA from 1 species